CUUGUUUCUAGAUCUCAGGUGACCAUUCAUGAGCCUGAGGCUGUGAGAAAUGCUUGCUGGGCGAAGGGGCACUCUCACCCGAUUUUCUGAAGCUGUUCUAGAGAGACACUUUUCAGGUUGAUUUCAGCAUCACCAGCUUAUCCAACAAAAGUAUUAUCACAUACAUCAACAACGUCGAAAGUAGCCUAUUUUAAGAGAAAAUAUGCAGAAGAAGAAGAUUUACAUCAAGAUUACCAUGGGUAUUUUCCAAAACACCUGAUAUUACCUGAGGACAGGACUUGCAUUCUCAAACUUUCCCUGGAGAAGCUCAGGUUUCUUGAAGACCCAGAAACCUACUUAAGAAGGUCUGUGUUAAUUAACAAUUUGCUGAGGAAGAUACAUCUAGAGACGGAGAAAGAGAGCUAUGAUUACUUUAAAGAAGCUCCCUCUUAUCAGACUGCUUAUUCUGAUACAAGAAAACGGCUGAAGUUUAUGGUGCAGGAAUGCUGUUCUCAGUCUCUUUAUUACGAAGAGCUGCAUUCCUAUCAUAUUGUGCCUUAUGCUUCGGAGAAUGCCAUUUACGGGAUGGGCUACACUGGUGGCCACUUGGAGCAAAAUUCUCAGUUGCUUAUUUAUAAAAUGAAUUAAAGUAACUGUUCCAUUGA